GAUGAACGCUGGCGGCGUGCCUAAUACAUGCAAGUCGAGCGAACGGACGAGAAGCUUGCUUCUCUGAUGUUAGCGGCGGACGGGUGAGUAACACGUGGAUAACCUACCUAUAAGACUGGGAUAACUUCGGGAAACCGGAUCUAAUACCGGAUAAUAUUUUGAACCGCAUGGUUCAAAAGUGAAAGACGGUCUUGCUGUCACUUAUAGAUGGAUCCGCGCUGCAUUAGCUAGUUGGUAAGGUAACGGCUUACCAAGGCAACGAUGCAUAGCCGACAUGAGAGGGUGAUCGGCCACACUGGAACUGAGACACGGUCCAGACUCGUACGGGAGGCAGCAGUAGGGAAUAUUCCGCAAUGGGCGAAAGCCUGACGGAGCAACGCCGCGUGAGUGAUGAAGGUCUUCGGAUCGUAAAACUCUGUUAUUAGGGAAGAACAUAUGUGUAAGUAACUGUGCACAUCUUGACGGUAACUAAUCAGAAAGCAACGGCUAACUACGUG
rnacentral:rRNA from 1 species